rnacentral:rRNA from 1 species
GAAGUUUCACUCCCAACCCCUGUGACAUACCAAUUGUUGCCUCGGCGGAUCAGCCCGCUCCCGGUAAAACGGGACGGCCCGCCAGAGGACCCCUAAACUCUGUUUCUAUAUGUAACUUCUGAGUAAAACCAUAAAUAAAUCAAAACUUUCAACAACGGAUCUCUUGGUUCUGGCAUCGAUGAAGAACGCAGCAAAAUGCGAUAAGUAAUGUGAAUUGCAGAAUUCAGUGAAUCAUCGAAUCUUUGAACGCACAUUGCGCCCGCCAGUAUUCUGGCGGGCAUGCCUGUUCGAGCGUCAUUUCAACCCUCAAGCCCCCGGGUUUGGUGUUGGGGAUCGGCGAGCCCUUGCGGCAAGCCGGCCCCGAAAUCUAGUGGCGGUCUCGCUGCAGCUUCCAUUGCGUAGUAGUAAAACCCUCGCAACUGGUACGCGGCGCGGCCAAGCCGUUAAACCCCCAACUUCUGAAUGUUGACCUCGGAUCAGGUAGGAAUACCCGCUGAACUUAAGCAUAUCAUAAGGCCGGAGGAAAUUCCACCCCCC